rnacentral:rRNA from 1 species
CCUACGGGGGGCAGCAGUGGGGAAUAUUGCACAAUGGGCGAAAGCCUGAUGCAGCAACGCCGCGUGAGCGAUGAAGGCCUUCGGGUCGUAAAGCUCUGUCCUCAAGGAAGAUAAUGACGGUACUUGAGGAGGAAGCCCCGGCUAACUACGUGCCAGCAGCCGCGGUAAUACGUAGGGGGCUAGCGUUAUCCGGAUUUACUGGGCGUAAAGGGUGCGUAGGCGGUCUUUUAAGUCAGGAGUGAAAGGCUACGGCUCAACCGUAGUAAGCUCUUGAAACUGGAGGACUUGAGUGCAGGAGAGGAGAGUGGAAUUCCUAGUGUAGCGGUGAAAUGCGUAGAUAUUAGGAGGAACACCAGUAGCGAAGGCGGCUCUCUGGACUGUAACUGACGCUGAGGCACGAAAGCGUGGGGAGCAAACAGGAUUAGAUACCCCCGUAGUC